AACGAACGUUGGCGGCGUGGAUUAGGCAUGCAAGUCGAACGAAUCCCGGGCAACCGGGGGAAGUGGCGAAAGGGGCAGUAAGGCAUGGGUAACCUGCCCCGGGGACGGGGAUAGCCUUCCUAACGGAAGGGUAAUACCCGGCGACCUGACGGGGGGGCCUCCUCCUGUCAGCAAAGGAGUUUCGCCCCGGGAGGGGCCCAUGUGGUAUUAGCUUGUUGGCGGGGUAACGGCCCACCAAGGCUAAGAUGCCUAGCGGGUGUGAGAGCACGACCCGCGCCACUGGCACUGCGACACUGGCCAGACUCCUACGGGAGGCUGCAGUCGAGGAUCUUCGGCAAUGGGCGCAAGCCUGACCGAGCGACGCCGCGUGCGGGACGAAGGCCUUCGGGUUGUAAACCGCUGUCGAGGGGGAGGAAGGCCGGGUCACACCGGCUUGACCUAUCCCUGGAGGAAGCACGGGCUAAGUUCGUGCCAGCAGCCGCAGUAACAC
rnacentral:rRNA from 1 species